rnacentral:rRNA from 1 species
GUAAUUCCGGUGAAGAUGCCGGAUACCUGCGACAGGACGGAAAGACCCCAUGGAGCUUUACUGUAGCUUGACAUUGGGUCUUGGUACUACAUGUACAGGAUAGGUGGGAGGCUUUGAAACCAGGACGCCAGUUUUGGCGGAGCCAUCCUUGGGAUACCACCCUUGUAGUACUGGGACUCUAACCAUAGGCCAUGAAUCUGGUCUUGGGACACUGUCAGGUGGGCAGGUUGACUGGGGCGGUCGCCUCCCAACAGGUAACGGAGGCGCUCAAAGGUUCUCUCAGUACGGUCGGAAAUCGUACGGAGUGUGUACAGGCAAAAGAGAGCUUGCUUGCCAUACAUUCUGGCAGAGCAAAGAGUGAAAUCGGACUUAGUGAUCCGGGGGGUCUUCGUGGGAGGGCCAUC